UUCUUUUCCUGGAGAGACAACCAAAAUGAAAACCUUGGUGAUUUUCGCUGCUCUCCUUGGAUCUCUGCUUGCUACUGAUAACAUCAAUGUUAAUAAUCAAGGUAACGAUGGAGGCAAUGUGCAUCAGACGGUGAAUAUCAACAACCAGGACCAAGUGGCCAACAUUCAUAAUCUAAAU